AGUGGAAUAACUGGAUCAAAUGAUGGUUCCAUUCCAUAUUUUAAGAGGAAUCUUCAUACUGCUUUCCAGAGUGGUUGCACCAAUUUGCAAUCCCACCAGCAAU
rnacentral:pre_miRNA from 1 species